UACGUAUGGUGCAAGCGUUAUCCGGAUUUACUGGGUGUAAAGGGAGCGUAGGUGGUCUGGCAAGCCGGAAGUGGAAACCCGGGGCUCAACUCCGCGGAUUGCUUUUGGAACUGUUGGACUGGAGUGCAGGAGGGGUAAGCGGAAUUCCCAGUGUAGCGGUGAAAUGCAUAGAUAUUGGGAAGAACACCGGUGGCGAAGGCGGCUUACUGGACUGUAACUGACGUUGAGGCUCGAAAGCGUGGGGAGCAAA
rnacentral:rRNA from 1 species